GUUUGAUUAUGGCUCAGAUUGAACGCUGGCGGCAGGCCUAACACAUGCAAGUCGAGCGGCAGCACGGGUACUUGUACCUGGUGGCGAGCGGCGGACGGGUGAGUAAUGCCUAGGAAUCUGCCUGGUAGUGGGGGAUAACGUUCGGAAACGAACGCUAAUACCGCAUACGUCCUACGGGAGAAAGCAGGGGACCUUCGGGCCUUGCGCUAUCAGAUGAGCCUAGGUCGGAUUAGCUAGUUGGUGAGGUAAUGGCUCACCAAGGCGACGAUCCGUAACUGGUCUGAGAGGAUGAUCAGUCACACUGGAACUGAGACACGGUCCAGACUCCUACGGGAGGCAGCAGUGGGGAAUAUUGGACAAUGGGCGAAAGCCUGAUCCAGCCAUGCCGCGUGUGUGAAGAAGGUCUUCGGAUUGUAAAGCACUUUAAGUUGGGAGGAAGGGCAGUUACCUAAUACGUAAUUGUUUUGACGUUACCGACAGAAUAAGCACCGGCUAACUCUGUGCCAGCAGCCGCGGUAAUACAGAGGGUGCAAGCGUUAAUCGGAAUUACUGGGCGUAAAGCGCGCGUAGGUGGUUCGUUAAGUUGGAUGUGAAAUCCCCGGGCUCAACCUGGGAACUGCAUUCAAAACUGUCGAGCUAGAGUAUGGUAGAGGGUGGUGGAAUUUCCUGUGUAGCGGUGAAAUGCGUAGAUAUAGGAAGGAACACCAGUGGCGAAGGCGACCACCUGGACUGAUACUGACACUGA
rnacentral:rRNA from 1 species